GAUGAACGCUGGCGGCGUGCCUAAUACAUGCAAGUCGAACGCAUUGUGGUUGAAAUGAUAUGAAGAACUUGUUCAGAUUUGAUUUUCAACAUUGCAAUGAGUGGCGAACGGGUGAGUAACACGUGGGAGACCUACCUCUUAGCAGGGGAUAACAUUUGGAAACAAAUGCUAAUACCGUAUAAUAAUUAAAAACCGCAUGGUUUUAGUUUAAAAGAUGGUCUUGCUAUCACUAAGAGAUGGUCCCGCGGUGUAUUAGUUAGUUGGUGAGGUAAUGGCUCACCAAGACAAUGAUACAUAGCCGAGUUGAGAGACUGACCGGCCACAAUGGGACUGAGACACGGCCCGAUACUCCUACGGGAGGCAGCAGUAGGGAA
rnacentral:rRNA from 1 species